AAGAAUCGAAAAAGAAGCGUCAGCGUAUCUUCUAUGUGCCUCCCAAUGCCCCUAUUUCUCUCUUUCUCUCUCUCAACUGACCUCCUCUCCAUCUCUCUUCCUCCGCGGACCUGUCGUGUCCUACAUCCUGCUCGCUCUUCGAAGCCGGUCGAAGCUUCGCGGUGGUAAACGGCGUAGCUACAACGUGCCGACGAGAGAAUGAGAGCGGCGGCGACGGCGGCAACCACUCUCGUCGUAUUGGUCGCACGGCAGUUCUGUAGUACGAGCGAUAGUGGUGGUAGUAAUAGUAGUACCACCGCAGACCUGCCCACGACGAGAGUAAACGGCGAGAGUAUUAUUAGCAGUAGCGUCGACACGCGACUAUCGUCACUACGCGACCUGUAAUCGCGCCGCGCCGAUAUCGACGUAUCGGUCGCGCCGACGACGCCGACGACGCCGACGCCGACGCCGACGCUGCGCCGAUCAUACGCGCCGGUUACAGGGAUUAGAGAGAUGCCCGACAAGACGUUUAGAUGAGCGACGAUUACGCAAUGAUUCGUGACCGAUCUGCACACGCGUUGGAUCGCAGUGAUCGUCCGUAAUGCGAUUAUACGCCUGAUUAUAGGUUCCUCGUAAUUGGAUCGUUUCUAAACUAGAGUUUAACUGGGUUAACCUUUACCAUGAAAUACCUCGUCACGGAGAAAUUCGUCGCAACGACUUUCAAAGAAAGUGCUGUAACAAAUUCAGGAUUUUUUUCAACAUUUCUAUUACAUUAAUACACGGAAUGCAAGAAAAUUCGACUUCCAGCCGAGAUUGAUUGCGUUGAAAGUCUGACAAUCAUAUCGG